ACGGAGGGUGCAAGCGUUAAUCGGAAUUACUGGGCGUAAAGCGCACGCAGGCGGUUUGUUAAGUCAGAUGUGAAAUCCCCGGGCUCAACCUGGGAACUGCAUCUGAUACUGGCAAGCUUGAGUCUCGUAGAGGGGGGUAGAAUUCCAGGUAUAGCGGUGAAAUGCGUAGAGCUCUGGAGGAAUUCCUGUGGCGAAGGCGGCCCCCUGGACGAAGAGUUAUUCUCAGGUGCGAAAGCGUGGGGAGCAAACAG
rnacentral:rRNA from 1 species